rnacentral:rRNA from 1 species
UACAGAGGCGACGAGCGUUGAUCGGAUUUACUGGGCGUAAAGCGUGCGCAGGCGGCGGAUCAUGUCCGAUGUGAAAGCCCGGGGCCCAGCCCCGGAAGUGCAUCGGAAACCGGUUCGCUGGAGGCCGGGAGAGGAGUCUGGAACACAUGGUGUAGCGGUGAAAUGCGUUGAUCUCAUGUGGAACACCGGAGGCGAAGGCGAGACUCUGGAACGGCACUGACGCUCAUGCACGAAAGCGUGGGGAGCAAAC